rnacentral:rRNA from 1 species
AGGACGAACGCUGGCGGCGUGCCUAACACAUGCAAGUCGAACGGAGCCCGCAAGGGUUCAGUGGCGAACGGGUGCGUAACACGUGAGGAACUUGUCCAUCGGCGGGGGAUAGCCGGCCCAACGGCCGGGUAAUACCGCGUACGCCGUCCGGAGCGCAUGCUCUGGCCGGGAAAGCAGCAAUGCACCGAUGGAGAGCCUCGCGGCCUAUCAGCUAGUUGGUGGGGUAAUGGCCUACCAAGGCGACGACGGGUAGCUGGUCUGAGAGGAUGACCAGCCACAUUGGGACUGAGACACGGCCCAGACUCCUACGGAGGCAGCAGUGGGGAAUAUUGCGCAAUGGGCGAAAGCCUGACGCAGCGACGCCGCGUGUGGGAUGACGGCCUUCGGGUUGUAACCACUGUCGCGAGGGACGAAGAUCUGACGGUACCUCGAAAGGAAGCACCGGCUAACUCUGUGCCAGCAGCCGC